rnacentral:rRNA from 1 species
CUACGUGCCAGCAGCCGCGGUAAUACGGAAGGUCCAGGCGUUAUCCGGAUUUAUUGGGUUUAAAGGGAGCGUAGGCCGUUUGAUAAGCGUGCUGUGAAAUUUAGAGGCUCAACCUCUACCGUGCAGCGCGAACUGUCAGACUUGAGUGCGUAGUAGGUAGGCGGAAUUCGUGGUGUAGCGGUGAAAUGCUUAGAUAUCACGAAGAACUCCGAUUGCGAAGGCAGCUUACCGUAUCGCAACUGACGCUGAUGCUCGAAGGUGCGGGUAUCGAACAGGAUUAGAUACCCUGGUAGUCCGCACAGUAAACGAUGGAUGCUCGCUGUUGGCCAUUUUGGUCAGUGGCUUAGCGAAAGCGUUAAGCAUCCCACCUGGGGAGUACGCCGGCAACGGUGAAACUCAAAGGAAUUGACGGGGGCCCGCACAAGCGGAGGAACAUGUGGUUUAAUUCGAUGAUACGCGAGGAACCUUACCCGGGCUUGAACUGCAGGAGAACGAUUC